rnacentral:rRNA from 1 species
UACGUAGGGUGCAAGCGUUUGUCCGGAAUUAUUGGGCGUAAAGAGCUCGUAGGCGGUCUGUCGCGUCGGAUGUGAAAACCCAGGGCUCAACCCUGGGCCUGCAGUGGGUACGGGCAGACUAGAGUGCGGUAGGGGAGACUGGAAUUCCUGGUGUAGCGGUGAAAUGCGCAGAUAUCAGGAGGAACACCGGUGGCGAAGGCGGGUCUCUGGGCAGUAACUGACGCUGAGGAGCGAAAGCGUGGGGAGCGAACAGG